UACGUAGGGUGCGAGCGUUGUCCGGAAUUAUUGGGCGUAAAGAGCUCGUAGGCGGCCUGUCACGUCGGUUGUGAAAGCCCCGGGGCUUAACCCCGGGUCUGCAGUCGAUACGGGGCAGGCUAGAGUUCGGUAGGGGAGAUCGGAAUUCCUGGUGUAGCGGUGAAAUGCGCAGAUAUCAGGAGGAACACCGGUGGCGAAGGCGGGUCUCUGGGCAGUAACUGACGCUGAGGAGCGAAAGCGUGGGGAGCGAACAGG
rnacentral:rRNA from 1 species